AAAUCAUAUGGCUUAACCGGAGUUGUGCAUUGGAAACUGGGAGACUUGAGUGCAGAAGAGGAGAGUGGAACUCCAUGUGUAGUGGUGAAAUGCGUAGAUAUAUGGAAGAACACCAGUGGCGAAAGCGGCUCUCUGGUCUGUAACUGACGCUGAGGUUCGAAAGCGUGGGUAGCAAAC
rnacentral:rRNA from 1 species